CAAGAAGUAGUGUUUUUUGCGGGUCUAUGCAAUGAUGCGUUCUUAAGUAUUCUAUGAUGUAACUGCUGGGUUUUCCCAAUAUUUUUGCUUUUCUCCCUGAACAAGUUUCGAUAGCUGCUAAGAUAGCACCAGUCGAAGGUCGGAUCUUCCAAGUAAGUGGCAGCUUUGAGAAUUUUCGGCAAUGAGAAAUGCUCAUCAAGACCGACAACUACAGCUUUAACUUCAGGAUCUAUUUCGGCUUCUAAAUAAGUAUCUGCUAUUGUUUCCGCAGGUGGAUCAGGCUGAAAACCUUCAAUCGUCAAUUUGAAAAAAGUUGAAACUUUAAUCGAAAAUUUCACGCAAUAGAUUGAUUUACUCAGAAAAUUACUAAUAUAAAAUAAUCUAAAAUAAAUAUAUAUUAUGAUGCAAGGAG